rnacentral:rRNA from 1 species
UACGAAGGGGGCUAGCGUUGCUCGGAAUCACUGGGCGUAAAGGGCGCGUAGGCGGCGUUUUAAGUCGGGGGUGAAAGCCUGUGGCUCAACCACAGAAUGGCCUUCGAUACUGGGACGCUUGAGUAUGGUAGAGGUUGGUGGAACUGCGAGUGUAGAGGUGAAAUGCGCAGAUAUCGGGAAGAACACCCGUGGCGAAGGCGGCUCUCUGGGACGGUACUGACGCUGAGGUGCGAAAGCGUGGGGAGCAAACAGG